rnacentral:rRNA from 1 species
UAGAGUUUGAUUCUGGCUCAGAUUGAACGCUGGCGGCAUGCCUUACACAUGCAAGUCGAACGGAAACGCGGGGCAACCUGGCGACGAGUGGCGAACGGGUGAGUAAUAUAUCGGAACGUGCCCAGUCGUGGGGGAUAACGCAGCGAAAGCUGUGCUAAUACCGCAUACGAUCUAUGGAUGAAAGCGGGGGAUCGCAAGACCUCGCGCUGAUUGAGCGGCCGAUAUCAGAUUAGCUAGUUGGUGAGGUAAAGGCUCACCAAGGCGACGAUCUGUAGCGGGUUGAGAGGAUGAUCCGCCACACGGAAUGAGACACGGUCCAGACUCCUACGGGAGGCAGCAGUGGGGAAUUUUGGACAAUGGGCGCAAGCCUGAUCCAGCCAUGCCGCGUGAGUGAAGAAGGCCUUCGGGUUGUAAAGCUCUUUCAGCCGGGAAGAAAACGCAUGGGUUAAUACCCUGUGUGGAUGACGGUACCGGAAUAAGAAGCACCGGCUAACUACGUGCCAGCCGCCGCGGAAUUC